rnacentral:rRNA from 1 species
UACGGAGGGUGCGAGCGUUAUCCGGAAUUACUGGGCGUAAAGCGUGCGCAGGCGGUUGUGCAAGACCGAUGUGAAAUCCCCGGGCUUAACCUGGGAAUGGCAUUGGUGACUGCACGGCUAGAGUGUGUCAGAGGGGGGUAGAAUUCCACGUGUAGCAGUGAAAUGCGUAGAGAUGUGGAGGAAUACCGAUGGCGAAGGCAGCCCCCCUGGGAUAACGAC